rnacentral:lncRNA from 1 species
GGGGUAAUAGGGUGUGCUUUGUUGAUCAUAUAGUCAUCAUCAGAUAAUAAGCCAGGCAGUUCAUUAAACGUGAUUGGUUGGUGUCGGCCUAGAAGAUUGGAUUUUAAACCAUUGUAUUCAUCUCUUAAUCCAGAUAUUGUGAGCAUAACUAGGUCCUUAUCUUUCAUAGGUUCACCAAUAUUUGACAAAGCAGAGGCAUAUUCCAUAGCUCGGGUCAAAUAUGCAAUUGGGGUUUCAUCCCCUUUCAUCAUUAUUCUGAGCAAUUGAGUUUUUAAAGUGUAUUCACGAGAGGCUGUGUUGGGUGCAUAAGCACGUUCUAAAGAAAGCCAAAGAUCACGAGAAGUGUUACCUUGAACAUGCUGAAAUGAUGCUUCAGAAAUUGUUGAUAAGAUUAUCAUCCGGACGUGGGCAUCGUUUGCAAUCCACCGGGAAUAACUGGGGUUAUCAGUGGUUGAAGAAGCUUCACCUUCUUUAGAUGCUGGAAUGAUUACAGUUGGUUCUGGGCAAGGAAUGGUGCCAUCCACAUAAUCGAACAGAUUAUUUGUAAGCAAGAAAGGUUCGAUCAUGGCUUUCCAAUACCCAUAGUUUGUUGGGGUUAGGGUAAAAGCAAAUUUGUGUGUGUUAUGGGCUGUUUUCUCAGCAGUGGUGAAGGCAGCCAAGGUUGCCAUGAUUGAAAGAGGCUGGCCGGAAAAAAAACAGGUUACCGGCGAAGGGAAGGGGAAGAGUUGACUGUUGAGCUCCUGGCUCUUGAUACCAUGUAAAACCAAAGGGUUGGAUUUUUAUUGAAUGAAUAGAGAGUUACAAUCAGGGAAAUAUAAAGACUAAAAUAUUACACAUUCAACCCUCUAACAAUAAUAAACAUGACAGACUUUUGGUUUAACAAUAUCUAAUGUAAUCAAAAAGUUUAAAGUAUAAAACAAAAUAGAAACGGAGAAAAACUGUUAAAUAUUAAAUAGUAAAUAAGUUUGUGGUGUAAAUUUUACGUAGUAUUCUUUUUACUUAUCCUCAUAAAUGCACACAAAACAAAGUGUACCACAAAUAAUAUAAUAUUACUUUUUAAAUAUUUUAAACAUCAUCGUCUUCUCUACGCAGAAGACUACCGGAAAUCAGAGAGGAGCCCACCGGAAAGUCGGAAAAACCCAAAAAAAUAAACGGAAACAUGUCGGAAACGUUUCCUUCGCGUCCCAAAACGCCGUCCCCUUCUGCAUCACAUUUCCACGCCAUACCCUACAUGCCGGGGACGUUUCCCGGCCGUCCCCGUGCCGUUUCCGUCCCCUAGCAGUCCCCGGGACAGGAGACGGCACCUCAUAGGCGUUUCCGUGCUUCCGAGCGUAGUAGCAUCCUACCUAUAGCAAGGCUAUUGGUAUGGUCUGGGGAGGGUAGAAUGUAGGCAAGCCUUACCUCUAUCCCAAGGGAUAGAGAGGCUACUUCCGGUGAGACACUGAGACCCCCCGACUCCAAAAACCAUAUCUAUAUACAAAUUCAAUUAAAACAUGCAUAGCUAGAAAAAAUAAAAAAAUACAGCAGAAAAACAGAGAGUGCUAAAAAUAUCUUGUGUUGCUACUAAUAACCGUAUACUAAGAACAAGUAAAACAUCCUAUAGUCACACCGACAAGGGUAACAUGCAAAGGCCACCCAAAAGAUAUGACAAGCAAAGCCCCGAAGGCAAGAAAUCUAUUACAAAUCUAAACCAUCCUCCUAAAAAUCCUUAAACUUAAUACUACGCAUCCACAAGCUUCCAUCAUGGACCAUUUCCUCAUAGAGGUGCAAGUCAAGCAAAUCAUGCCAAAUCCGCUCAUCCUAAGUCAGUUAGGGUCCGUCGUGAAGUGUAUGCUUAUCGUAGUCCUUAAUAUCCUAAUUCAUGAAGAUUCUAAGUAGUGUUAUUGUUACUAAUUACAUGCUAAAACAAGUCUUACAUAACCAUCAAGAUUCAAACUUUAUCACCAAAAGAUAAUAUCUUUACAACACCUCAAACCUUAUGUAGUUAUGUACAAUUUGACUUUAACUUGCAAAGCCCUAAUAGCAGUCAAUAAUUUAGGGGUGGUUUUCAACACAGAGAAGAUAAAUUAACAAAACAUUUGAUAGAAAAAGGCAGACAAAUUAAUAAUUAAAGGAAUUAAGUACCUGAAAGCGAGCAAUAGCAUCGGCGGCAAUGGUGGAAUAGGCACUGCCCAUGUGAGGAGGGGCAUUGACGUAAUAAAGCGGGGUGGUGAGGACAAAUGGAUCUUGGCUAGAAGUGCUGCUGCAAGUGCAGUAUAAAGCAGUUGGUGAUCUUCUGGAUGAUGAAGAAGGUGGUGAAGGUGGUUGUAUGAGAUUGAAGGGAGUGAUGCACCCUUGCCGCCAUAUCCUCUCUUUUCCGUUCAGUUCAGUUGAGGACUGAUUUGAAUACGAGCCCCCCUUGGAGAUAGGCUGCAAAAAUGUUAAUCCACUAUUUUUUUUAGCUUUUAUUUUUUGGCUUAUGCUUAUAUUUUAAAGUAGCUUAUAGCUUAUUUUCUAUCUUUCAUUUGAUAAGCUCUUUUAAAGUGUUUGGAUUAGCUUAUAGCUUAUUUUCUAUCAUUUGACCUUACACAAAUAAGCCUCUUCAAAUAAGCUUCUUCAAAUUAGCUUAUAUAAGCUAAUAAGCAUAAGCUUAAAAAGCUAAACCAAAUAAGCUUAUUUUGUAU